UUCCCCCCUCCCUUUUAAAAUUUGAAUUCCGUCUUUCUUUCGCUUUUUCACCCUCCGGGGAAGCAGCGUUUGUGCUGUUUUGCAGGUCCUUUUUUUUCCCUUUUCUUUGGAAGGCAUCUUCGGAUACUGGCAAUGCAGUUCUUGAAAAUUCGCAUUUUGCCCGAUUGUCAGGUUAGGCUGGAGUUCCUGUCGUCAAAGGCAGUUCGUUUCAUUUAUUUAUGAUUGCAGAAAUCAAUAUCCACCCUUUUAAAUACAAAUUCCCCGCCCCAGCAAACUGCGGAAGACCAACCGACAGCCAAAAAGCGAGUUCGGGUCUUCCAAAUGUAGUCCUUCCAAGGCUUUUUGCUAAAAUGAUUAAAGUAUGAUGGAAUUGACUUACAGUUGAGGGGAACCUGGAUAAUUUUUCAUGAGUUACCAGUAUUUUCAAGUACUCCAGUUGCCUUUUGGAAAAAGCAUCUUUGGGACAACUGUAACCUGGAUGAUUGAGAAUCUCCAUAGAUGACAGAGUAUAAUAUUGGUCUUGAAAUUACAUGUUGAAGGUUGCACUGAGAAUUACAGGAUUUUUAUCAAACAAUCUUAUAAAUGUUAAGUAAGAUUUUUUAAAAGAUUCUAAAUAUUGUUUAUAAAAUAGGAAUAUGAAUUACAGACAAAGCUAUAUAUUCAUUCCACCUUUUGCUGUACUUUUGUUUAUUUCAGAGUGAAUUGUGCUUUUUCAAAUGCUAGGCAGAGCCUUUUAUAACUUCUUAUGCUCCUAGUGACUACAUGGACACAUCUCUGAAGUAUUAGGUAUGUUCACCACCUUGAGUUAACUUAUAAAAGUAAUAAAGACGAGAUAAAAAUGUAAAUAAAUAA